UACAGAGGGUGCAAGCGUUAAUCGGAAUUACUGGGCGUAAAGCGCGUGUAGGUGGAUUGGUGUGUCAGAUGUGAAAGCCCUGGGCUCAACCCAGGAACUGCACCUGAAACUACCAGUCUUGAGUGGUGGAGAGGGAAGUGGAAUUCCUGGUGUAGAGGUGAAAUUCGUAGAUAUCAGGAGGAACACCAGUGGCGAAGGCGGCUUCCUGGACACCAACUGACGCUGAGACGCGAAAGCGUGGGGAGCAAACAGG
rnacentral:rRNA from 1 species